UGUAAGGGUCUCCAACAAUUUCUUAAACCUAUGUUUUUCCAUUCCAACAUGGGUUUAAGAAAUUGUUGGAGACCCUUACAA
rnacentral:miRNA from 1 species